UGUAAUAGAAGUUUACAAUGUAAUUUAAAGA
rnacentral:piRNA from 1 species